CGAGAACAUCUUCGGCACCAGGACGGGGGAGUUCUUACCAGCAGCGUUCGGCCCCUCCAUGGCCUUUCAGACAGCCGUCUGUGUCCUCACAGGCGGACAGUGUUUAUGCACUGGACACAGGCAGGCACGUGGUCCUUUUUCAAGACCCUCCUCAACAGGACCAGGGACUGCAGCAGUGGGGGUUCUGGACACCCUGGGCGUACCACCAAGCCCAGGGCCCCCAACGGCUUCCUCCUAGGCCUGUGAUGACUGAGCACAGGGCGCCGGAAGCAUCGCUGUCUCGCCCCGCUCCCUCUCCGGACGGGGAGGGUAGGUCACAACAGCAGGACCCUGAGCUCCCUCCGGAGUCAGAGGCGCGGGCUCAGACAGACCCCCCGCUGGACACUCUCUUGCCAGGGGUCUCCUCAUCGUCGUCUCCCGAUGAGGCUGUGGCGGGCACUUCUUCCACCAGCCCUCCCCCACAGGACCUCAGGGCACACCAGGACCUCCUCAGGCGCGUAGCGCAGAACUUGAAUCUGCAAGCUGAGGAGGUCUCCGAGAUCAAGGAUCCCGUGGCGAGCAUCCUCUCCUCCGAUGCUCUCACCAGGGUCACCCUGCCCUUUAUUCGGACUAUCCAGGCGAACGCCAAUACGAUCUGGCAAUCGCCGGCCUCCAUCCCCUCUGCUGCACGUGGCGUGGAGCGGAAGUACAUGGCUCCCUCCAAGGGCUAUGAGUACCUCCACGUUCACCCAACACCGUGCUCCCUCGUAGUGCAGUCGGUGAACGAGAGGGAGCGUCACGGACAAGAGGCCCCAGCUCCUAAAUCCAAGGAGGCCAGGCGGAUGGACCUCCUCGGCCGCAAGGUCUAUUCGGCGGGGGCCCUUCAGCUCAGGGUUUCCAACCAGCAAGCCCUCCUUAGCCGCUACGCCUUUAACUCUUGGGUGGCAGCGGAUAAGUUUAAAGAGCUGUUGCCCCAGGAGGCGCGUCACGAUUUUGCGGCAAUUCUUGACGAGGGCAAGAAGGUCGCAAGAACCUCGUUGCAGGCCUCCUUGGACGCAGCGGACUCGGCCGCUCGUACCCUCGCCUCAAGGGUCACAAUGUGCCGCAUCUCCUGGCUUCAGGUUUCUGGCCUUCCGCCGGAGCUCCAAUACACCAUCCAGGACUUCCCGUUCGAAGGCCAGGGCCUGUUCUCGGAGAAGACAGACCCCAGACUAAAAAGUCUGAAGGACAAUCGGGUCAUCAGGCGCUCUCUUGGGAUGCACACGCCUGUGACACAACGCAGACCCUUCCGGCCGCAACAACAGCAGCAGCAGCGCCGGCCGUAUCCCCAG
rnacentral:lncRNA from 1 species